GACGAACGCUGGCGGCGUGCUUAACACAUGCAAGUCGAGCGGUAAGGCCCUUUCGGGGGUACACGAGCGGCGAACGGGUGAGUAACACGUGGGUGACCUGCCCUCAGCUCUGGGAUAAGCCUGGGAAACCGGGUCUAAUACUGGAUAUGACUCCAUGGCGCAUGUUGUGGGGUGGAAAGCCUUGUGCGGCUGAGGAUGGGCCCGCGGCCUAUCAGCUUGUUGGUGGGGUGANGGCCUACCAAGGCGACGACGGGUAGCCGGCCUGAGAGGGCGACCGGCCACACUGGGACUGAGACACGGCCCAGACUCCUACGGGAGGCAGCAGUGGGGAAUCUUGCGCAAUGGGCGAAAGCCUGACGCAGCGACGCCGCGUGAGGGAUGACGGCCUGG
rnacentral:rRNA from 1 species